rnacentral:rRNA from 1 species
ACACAUAGGAGCCGCAUGGUUUUUAUGUCAAAGAUUUAUCGCUGAGAGAUGGACUCGCGUCCGAUUAGCUUGUUGGUGGGGUAACGGCUCACCAAGGCGACGAUCGGUAGCCGGACUGAGAGGUUGAACGGCCACAUUGGGACUGAGACACGGCCCAGACUCCUACGGGAGGCAGCAGUGGGGGAUAUUGCGCAAUGGGGGAAACCCUGACGCAGCAACGCCGCGUGGAGGAUGACGGUUUUCGGAUUGUAAACUCCUUUUAUGGGGGACGAAUCAAGACGGUACCCCAUGAAUAAGCUCCGGCUAACUACGUGCCAGCAGCCGCGGUAAUACGUAGGGAGCAAGCGUUGUCCGGAUUUACUGGGUGUAAAGGGUGCGUAGGCGGCUUGGUAAGUCAGAUGUGAAAUGUAGAGGCUCAACCUCUGAACUGCAUUUGAAACUAUUGAGCUUGAGUGAUGUAGAGGCAGGCGGAAUUCCCUGUGUAGCGGUGAAAUGCGUAGAGAUAGGGAGGAACACCAGUGGCGAAGGCGGCCUGCUGGGCAUUAACUGACGCUGAGGCACGAAAGCGUGGGUAGCAAAC